AUGAGCCAACAUUGUGCUCUUGUUGCAAAAAAGCCAACAGCAGACUGAGUAGUAUGAAUUGGACUGUUACUUGAAAACUUUAGGGAAAUGAUUCUUCAGCUCCAGUCAGCACUGAUGAGGCUUCACUUGGAAUACUGUGUACUGUUUUGGGCUCCCACACUUUAAAACUGAUGUAGACAGCAUGCAAUUCUUCGGUUGCAGAGAACUUGGGAAGACCGCAACAGGAACCACAGACCUCACCCAGGAACAGAGACAAAACCCAGCAUUUGAAAGAUAAAGAACCUACAGGAACUCAAGAUUUGGAAGACAAAGACCCUACAGAAACCAGCAACCCCACCAUUGUAUCCCACCAGACAAUGAGGACACCUGGAUCUGCAUGUAUGCAUCUGAGCAGGAUUGGCCUUGUCUGGGCAUGGCCUUCCCAUAGGAGACACAGGUAGCCCACCCCUAUAAAAGAGGGUGACCUCUGUAGGCACCCCCUCCAUCUGGACCAGCACUGUACCACGCCACCUAUCCACCCAGAGGCCCUGCCAGUGACCCCCUCUGGACAACACUUUGCUGGAGAAGACCCCGACUUGCCAUUGAGCAUCAACUCACAGCCCAGAAUAGGUAGCUAUCACCCACCUUCCUUCCCCAAGCAAAGGACCUGAACUCUGUCCUCACACACCUUGACUCCAAUCCCUCCACCAAGCUUUUCCUCUCCUGCUACCAGUGUGUACGUGUGUGUGCGCACGUGUGCCCGCAUACAUGUGUGCGCGUGCAUGUAUGUGUGUACGUGUGCGUAACAAUAAUUUUGUGGGGCUGUAUAGUGUGCUGCCCGAUUAAUAAAACUUAUUUUGAAACCCCGA